UACGUAGGUGGCGAGCGUUGUCCGGAUUUACUGGGCGUAAAGAGCGCGCAGGCGGUCGUACAAGUCGCGUGUGAAAGCCCCCGGCUCAACUGGGGAGGGUCACGCGAUACUGUUCGACUCGAAGGCAGGAGAGGGAAGUGGAAUUCCCGGUGUAGUGGUGAAAUGCGUAGAUAUCGUAAGGAAGACCAGUGGCGAAGGCGGCUACCUGGCCCUGUCCUGACGCUCAGGGGCGAAAGCGUGGGGAGCAAACCGG
rnacentral:rRNA from 1 species